UACAGAGGUCUCAAGCGUUGUUCGGAUUCAUUGGGCGUAAAGGGUGCGUAGGUGGCGUGGUAAGUCUGGUGUGAAAUCCCGGGGCUCAACCCCGGAACUGCACUGGAUACUGCCAUGCUUGAGUACUGGAGAGGAGAUUGGAAUUUACGGUGUAGCAGUGAAAUGCGUAGAUAUCGUAAGGAAGACCAGUGGCGAAGGCGAAUCUCUGGACAGUUCCUGACGCUGAGGCACGAAGGUCAGGGGAGCAAACGGG
rnacentral:rRNA from 1 species